rnacentral:rRNA from 1 species
UACGUAGGGUGCGAGCGUUAAUCGGAAUUACUGGGCGUAAAGCGUGCGCAGGCGGUUCGCCAAGUCAGAUGUGAAAUCCCCGGGCUUAACCUGGGAACUGCGUUUGAAACUACAAGGCUAGAGUGUGGCAGAGGGGGGUGGAAUUCCGCGUGUAGCAGUGAAAUGCGUAGAUAUGUGGAGGAAUACCGAUGGCGAAGGCAGCCCCCUGGGAUAACACUGACGCUCAUGCACGAAAGCGUGGGGAGCAAACAGG